rnacentral:rRNA from 1 species
GGCACGCCUAACACAUGCAAGUCGAACGCAGUAGCAAUACUGAGUGGCAAACGGGUGAGUAUAAUGUGGGAAUCUGCCUUUUGGUUCGGAACAACACGGGGAAACCUGUGCUAAUACCGGAUAAGUCCUUACGGAGAAAGUUUUAAUGCCAAAAGAUGAGCCCGCAUUUGAUUAGCUAGUUGGUGAGGUAAAAGCUCACCAAGGCGAUAAUCAAUAGCUGAUUUGAGAGGAUGAUCAGCCACACUGGGACUGAGACACGGCCCAAACUCC